GACGAACGCUGGCGGCGUGCUUAACACAUGCAAGUCGAACGGACAGGCCCUGCUUUUGUGGGGUGCUCGAUUGCCGAACGGGUGAGUAACACGUGUGUAACCUGCCCUUGACUUUGGGAUAACUUCAGGAAACUGGGGCUAAUACCGGAUAUGAUCUCCUGCUGCAUGUUGGGGGUUUGAGAGUUUCGGCGGUUUGGGAUGGACUCGCGGCUUAUCAGCUUGUUGUGGGGGUAGUGGCUUACCAAGGCUUUGACGGGUAGCCGGCCUGGGAGGGGGACCGGCCACAUGGGGACGGGGAUAAGGCCCAGAAUGGAAUGGGAGGCAGCGGUGGGGAAGAGUACAGAAGGGGCGGAGGGCUGAUGCGACAACGCCGCGUGCGGGAUGAGGGGCUUGGGGUUGGAAACCAAUGUCGCCUGUGACGAAGAGUGAGUGACGGUAAUGGGUAAAGAAGCACCGGCUAACUACGUG
rnacentral:rRNA from 1 species